rnacentral:rRNA from 4 species
UGGUGGGUAGUUUGACUGGGGCGGUCUCCUCCUAAAGAGUAACGGAGGAGCACGAAGGUUGGCUAAUCCUGGUCGGACAUCAGGAGGUUAGUGCAAUGGCAUAAGCCAGCUUGACUGCGAGCGUGACGGCGCGAGCAGGUGCGAAAGCAGGUCAUAGUGAUCCGGUGGUUCUGAAUGGAAGGGCCAUCGCUCAACGGAUAAAAGGUACUCCGGGGAUAACAGGCUGAUACCGCCCAAGAGUUCAUAUCGACGGCGGUGUUUGGCACCUCGAUGUCGGCUCAUCACAUCCUGGGGCUGAAGUAGGUCCCAAGGGUAUGGCUGUUCGCCAUUUAAAGUGGUACGCGAGCUGGGUUUAGAACGUCGUGAGACAGUUCGGUCCCUAUCUGCCGUGGGCGCUGGAGAACUGAGGGGGGCUGCUCCUAGUACGAGAGGACCGGAGUGGACGCAUCACUGGUGUUCGGGUUGUCAUGCCAAUGGCACUGCCCGGUAGCUAAAUGCGGAAGAGAUAAGUGC